rnacentral:rRNA from 1 species
CCUACGGGAGGCAGCAGUGGGGAAUAUUGGGCAAUGGGCGCAAGCCUGACCCAGCAAAGCCGCGUGAAGGAAGAAGGCUUUCGGGUUGUAAACUUCUUUUAAGCGGGAAGAGCAGAAGACGGUACCUCUUGAAUAAGCCACGGCUAACUACGGGCCAGCAGCCGCGGCAAUACGUAGGUGGCAAGCAUUGUCCGGAUUUACUGGGUGUAAAGGGUGUGCAGCCGGGAAGACAAGUCAGAUGUGAAAUCCCGCGGCUCAACCGCGGAACUGCCUUUGAAACUGUUUGUCUUGAGUACCGGAGGGGUCAUCGGAAUUCGUUGUGUAGCGGUGAAAUGCGUAGAUAUAAGGAAGAACACCAGUGGCGAAGGCAGAUGACUGGACGGCAACUGACGGUGAGGCACGAAAGCGUGGGGAGCAAACAGGAUUAGAUACCCGUGUAGUC